rnacentral:rRNA from 1 species
UAAGCGACUAAGCGUACACGGUGGAUGCCCUGGCAGUCAGAGGCGAUGAAGGACGUGCUAAUCUGCGAUAAGCGUCGGUAAGGUGAUAUGAACCGUUAUAACCGGCGAUUUCCGAAUGGGGAAACCCAGUGUGUUUCGACACACUAUCAUUAACUGAAUCCAUAGGUUAAUGAGGCGAACCGGGGGAACUGAAACAUCUAAGUACCCCGAGGAAAAGAAAUCAACCGAGAUUCCCCCAGUAGCGGCGAGCGAACGGGGAGCAGCCCAGAGCCUGAAUCAGUGUGUGUGUUAGUGGAAGCGUCUGGAAAGGCGCGCGAUACAGGGUGACAGCCCCGUACACAAAAAUGCACAUGCUGUGAGCUCGAUGAGUAGGGCGGGACACGUGGUAUCCUGUCUGAAUAUGGGGGGACCAUCCUCCAAGGCUAAAUACUCCUGACUGACCGAUAGUGAACCAGUACCGUGAGGGAAAGGCGAAAAGAACCCCGGCGAGGGGAGUGAAAAAGAACCUGAAACCGUGUACGUACAAGCAGUGGGAGCACGCUUAGGCGUGUGACUGCGUACCUUUUGUAUAAUGGGUCAGCGACUUAUAUUCUGUAGCAAGGUUAACCGAAUAGGGGAGCCGAAGGGAAACCGAGUCUUAACUGGGCGUUAAGUUGCAGGGUAUAGACCCGAAACCCGGUGAUCUAGCCAUGGGCAGGUUGAAGGUUGGGUAACACUAACUGGAGGACCGAACCGACUAAUGUUGAAAAAUUAGCGGAUGACUUGUGGCUGGGGGUGAAAGGCCAAUCAAACCGGGAGAUAGCUGGUUCUCCCCGAAAGCUAUUUAGGUAGCGCCUCGUGAAUUCAUCUCCGGGGGUAGAGCACUGUUUCGGCAAGGGGGUCAUCCCGACUUACCAACCCGAUGCAAACUGCGAAUACCGGAGAAUGUUAUCACGGGAGACACACGGCGGGUGCUAACGUCCGUCGUGAAGAGGGAAACAACCCAGACCGCCAGCUAAGGUCCCAAAGUCAUGGUUAAGUGGGAAACGAUGUGGGAAGGCCCAGACAGCCAGGAUGUUGGCUUAGAAGCAGCCAUCAUUUAAAGAAAGCGUAAUAGCUCACUGGUCGAGUCGGCCUGCGCGGAAGAUGUAACGGGGCUAAACCAUGCACCGAAGCUGCGGCAGCGACGCUUAUGCGUUGUUGGGUAGGGGAGCGUUCUGUAAGCCUGCGAAGGUGUGCUGUGAGGCAUGCUGGAGGUAUCAGAAGUGCGAAUGCUGACAUAAGUAACGAUAAAGCGGGUGAAAAGCCCGCUCGCCGGAAGACCAAGGGUUCCUGUCCAACGUUAAUCGGGGCAGGGUGAGUCGACCCCUAAGGCGAGGCCGAAAGGCGUAGUCGAUGGGAAACAGGUUAAUAUUCCUGUACUUGGUGUUACUGCGAAGGGGGGACGGAGAAGGCUAUGUUGGCCGGGCGACGGUUGUCCCGGUUUAAGCGUGUAGGCUGGUUUUCCAGGCAAAUCCGGAAAAUCAAGGCUGAGGCGUGAUGACGAGGCACUACGGUGCUGAAGCAACAAAUGCCCUGCUUCCAGGAAAAGCCUCUAAGCAUCAGGUAACAUCAAAUCGUACCCCAAACCGACACAGGUGGUCAGGUAGAGAAUACCAAGGCGCUUGAGAGAACUCGGGUGAAGGAACUAGGCAAAAUGGUGCCGUAACUUCGGGAGAAGGCACGCUGAUAUGUAGGUGAAGUCCCUUGCGGAUGGAGCUGAAAUCAGUCGAAGAUACCAGCUGGCUGCAACUGUUUAUUAAAAACACAGCACUGUGCAAACACGAAAGUGGACGUAUACGGUGUGACGCCUGCCCGGUGCCGGAAGGUUAAUUGAUGGGGUUAGCGGUAACGCGAAGCUCUUGAUCGAAGCCCCGGUAAACGGCGGCCGUAACUAUAACGGUCCUAAGGUAGCGAAAUUCCUUGUCGGGUAAGUUCCGACCUGCACGAAUGGCGUAAUGAUGGCCAGGCUGUCUCCACCCGAGACUCAGUGAAAUUGAACUCGCUGUGAAGAUGCAGUGUACCCGCGGCAAGACGGAAAGACCCCGUGAACCUUUACUAUAGCUUGACACUGAACAUUGAGCCUUGAUGUGUAGGAUAGGUGGGAGGCUUUGAAGUGUGGACGCCAGUCUGCAUGGAGCCGACCUUGAAAUACCACCCUUUAAUGUUUGAUGUUCUAACGUGGACCCGUAAUCCGGGUUGCGGACAGUGUCUGGUGGGUAGUUUGACUGGGGCGGUCUCCUCCUAAAGAGUAACGGAGGAGCACGAAGGUUGGCUAAUCCUGGUCGGACAUCAGGAGGUUAGUGCAAUGGCAUAAGCCAGCUUGACUGCGAGCGUGACGGCGCGAGCAGGUGCGAAAGCAGGUCAUAGUGAUCCGGUGGUUCUGAAUGGAAGGGCCAUCGCUCAACGGAUAAAAGGUACUCCGGGGAUAACAGGCUGAUACCGCCCAAGAGUUCAUAUCGACGGCGGUGUUUGGCACCUCGAUGUCGGCUCAUCACAUCCUGGGGCUGAAGUAGGUCCCAAGGGUAUGGCUGUUCGCCAUUUAAAGUGGUACGCGAGCUGGGUUUAGAACGUCGUGAGACAGUUCGGUCCCUAUCUGCCGUGGGCGCUGGAGAAUUGAGGGGGGCUGCUCCUAGUACGAGAGGACCGGAGUGGACGCAUCACUGGUGUUCGGGUUGUCAUGCCAAUGGCACUGCCCGGUAGCUAAAUGCGGAAGAGAUAAGUGCUGAAAGCAUCUAAGCACGAAACUUGCCCCGAGAUGAGUUCUCCCUGACUCCUUGAGAGUCCUGAAGGAACGUUGAAGACGACGACGUUGAUAGGCCGGGUGUGUAAGCGCAGCGAUGCGUUGAGCUAACCGGUACUAAUGAACCGUGAGGCUUAACCU